UUGGAGGGCAAGUCUGGUGCCAGCAGCCGCGGUAAUUCCAGCUCCAAUAGCGUAUAUUAAAGUUGUUGCAGUUAAAAAGCUCGUAGUUGAAUUUCGGGAUUGACGUGAUGGUCAUGCCUUAAGGGGUAUGAACUGUCACUGUUGAUUUCUCACCUUCUGGAGAAACUUGAUGUCCUUUAUUGGGUGUCUUGCGGAUCCAGGACCUUUACCUUGAAAAAAUUAGAGUGUUUAAAGCAGGCAUUUUUGCUCGAAUACAUUAGCAUGGAAUAAUAGAAUAGGACGGCAUGGUUCUAUUUUGUUGGUUUCUAGGAUCACCGUAAUGAUUAAUAGGGAUAGUUGGGGGCAUUAGUAUUCAAUUGUCAGAGGUGAAAUUCUUGGAUUUAUUGAAGACUAACUACUGCGAAAGCAUUUGCCAAGGAUGUUUUCAUUAAUCAAGAACGAAAGUUAGAGGUUCGAAGGCGAUCAGAUACCGCCCUAGUUCUAACCAUAAACGAUGCCAACCAGCGAUCAGCAGAGUUCGAAAAAUGACUCGGCUGGCAGCUUCUGGGAAACCAAAGUGUUUGGGUUC
rnacentral:rRNA from 1 species